GCGGGGGUUGCCGAGAUUGGUCAAAGGCGCAGGACUUAAGAUCCUGUUUCAUAGGAAUUCGGGGGUUCAAAUCCCCUCCCCCGCA
rnacentral:tRNA from 1 species